ACUGCUACAGUAGAAGCAUUGCAAGAGCUUUUUAGUGGUGAUGGACAGUCCAAAAGGGGACGCAGAGGACAAAUUGAGAUGCCUGUUCCUCCAAGCAUUUACCAAAGACUGACAUCCAGUUCUACUCUGCUGAAUUUGGCCCAGGCUCUAGCGUACCACAAGAUGUGUUAUGAAGAUAUGCCGCUGCAGGACCUUCAGGCAUCCCAAGAGCAGCAGACCAUUCAGAACCUCUGUGAUACUCUUCGUACUAUUC